rnacentral:rRNA from 1 species
GCGUCUGAUUAGCUAGUUGGCGGGGUAACGGCCCACCAAGGCGUCGAUCAGUAGCCGGCCUGAGAGGGUGAUCGGCCACACUGGAACUGAGACACGGUCCAGACUCCUACGGGAGGCAGCAGUGGGGAAUUUUGCGCAAUGGGCGAAAGCCUGACGCAGCAACGCCGCGUGGGUGAUGAAGGUCUUCGGAUCGUAAAACCCUGUCGUCAGGGACGAAGGUUGUAUGUCUAAUAGAUGUGCAACUUGACGGUACCUGGAGAGGAAGCCCCGGCUAACUCUGUGCCAGCAGCCGCGGUAAUACAGAGGGGGCAAGCGUUAUUCGGAAUUAUUGGGCGUAAAGGGCGCGUAGGCGGUGGUUUAAGUGAGAUGUGUAAUCCCCGAGCUUAACUUGGGAACUGCAUCUCAGACUGGAUCGCUAGAGUGCUGGAGAGGGUGGUGGAAUUCCACGUGUAGCGGUGAAAUGCGUAGAGAUGUGGAGGAACACCAGUGGCGAAGGCGGCCACCUGGACAGUAACUGACGCUGAGGCGCGAAAGUGUGGGGAACAAACAGGAUUAGAUACCCUGGUAGUCCACGCUGUAAACUCUGAUCACUUGGUGUGGUGGGAGUUGACCCCCGCCGUGCCGUAGCUAACGCGAUAA